rnacentral:rRNA from 1 species
GAUGAACGCUGGCGGCGUGCCUAAUACAUGCAAGUCGAGCGAACAGACGAGGAGCUUGCUCCUCUGACGUUAGCGGCGGACGGGUGAGUAACACGUGGAUAACCUACCUAUAAGACUGGGAUAACUUCGGGAAACCGGAGCUAAUACCGGAUAAUAUAUUAAACCGCAUGGUUCAAUAGUGAAAGACGGUUUUGCUGUCACUUAUAGAUGGAUCCGCGCCGCAUUAGCUAGUUGGUAAGGUAACGGCUUACCAAGGCAACGAUGCGUAGCCGACCUGAGGGGGGAGUGGGCACACGAGGAAAUGAGCAAGGGACCAGACACAUGAGGGAGGGCGGGAUGGGGAAGUUUCCCAAAGGGCAGAAAGCCUGAGGGGGCAAAGCAGCGGGAAUGAUGAAGGUCUGCGGAACGAAAAACGUUGUUAGUAGGGAAGAACAAAGGGGUAAGUAAAGAUGCCGGUCUGGACGGUACCUAAGCAAAAAGCCCCGGCUAACUACGU